UCAAGAACUCUUGUAGCGGGCCCACACAAAAGACAUUAUUUGAUAAUGUCUUUUGUGUGGGUCCGCUACAAGAGUUCUUGAUAAUGUCUUU
rnacentral:pre_miRNA from 1 species